GACAGAAAAGCAUAAAUGGUUAAUGCACAGAACUUUUAAUUCUGAUCAAGUUUGGGCUUUCUUUCA
rnacentral:tRNA from 1 species